CAGGUGAUGGAAACCAAACUAACAGUGAUUUCAGCCGUGAUGAAAUUGAAGCUGUGAUAAAACACGACGUGAGGUGGUUUUGGAAGAUCCUCCAGAGAAAACACUUUCCACAUCCUACCUGGAGGAUAAAAAGCCUGGUGCAAGAAUUCUGGAACCCUAGUAGGGAAGAUAGCUGGGAGUCUCAGCAUCUUGAGGAAGCGUAUUGAAGUCAGGACUCAGCAAGCUUGUGGCUGGCUUUGACUGAUGAAAUAUGAACAGAAGUAACACGUGCUGCAUCUGAGCAGAAGCUGUAAGAGCCAUCCUCCAGCUCCACCGUGUUUUCUUUCCCUCUGCCACAGACCUGUGAUGCCCCAGACUAGGAAAGGAGUCAUCUUGCUCUCAAUCAGGUUCAGCUUCCAUCUCUUUCCUGGAACCUCUCUUCCCAACGGCUUGGCUUCUUC